UACUACGAAGAUGCUAACAGAGUUGAAAACCUCUGCCCACUGUCCAGUCAAUGCGGAUAUCUCAGCCAUGCCAAGCGCCAACGCUCCUGCGGAUAACGUUCCUAGUCCCCGGUUACAGCCUUUGCUAAAUGUGGCUCCUACACAAAGAAGAGAUGGUUUCACAUCAGAAUUGCCCAGAGAUAGUGGUUGCUGAGCUCUGAUCCUGGGAGCUUAAAGAAGACGAGAAUGGAGACGAGUGUCAGAGCCAAACCCAUCUUAGCUGAGAAUAUAAUCUUCCUCGGGUCAGAUGUUCCCAUCUCCCAAGCCGUAACAAAAACAUCCUGUGAUUUCGUCACAAACCCAGUGAUCUUGUCGGAGAAGUACCUGCAAACACCACCCAUGGCAUUUCAAGUCAAACCAUUCUCAACUGUUGUUACACGACUCAGAUUUUGGUUCCAAGAGGCAUCAGAUUCGAUAAAAGGGGUUCCACAAAAUUUGGUCAACAUAGUUUCUGGAGAGAAAGAGAGAUUGUAUGUAGAUGAUAUAUAACCUGUAGGAGCAGCAACGGGCGGGAGUUUUGUCCUCACCGGGAUAGAAAGAGUCUCUGGUCGGAUGUGGGAGAAGCCUAUCCCUUAUGCUUUGUCUAAACGAACCAUCGAACAUACUACUUCGCCUGAAAGAUACGUCAAACAUGCUGCCCCUCCUGAAAGAUUCCAGCUUUGGUGCCGCCAUUUUCUGGUUCGUGAUUCUGAUGAUCUCUCAAGAGAGGAACAGGGACGGGAGGUUUUCGAAGAAGAGGUUAUAUUUCUUGUGCAUUGUGGUUUUAAAGACGCCUAACACAUGAUUUGUAUCAUUACACGAUGAUGGCAUCAUGAAUAAAAACCCCAGAUUCCAAAA